rnacentral:lncRNA from 1 species
AGCUUUACUUGUUUUCCUAUUGAUAAGUUCGAUCCUCUUGAAGAGAUCAGAUUUUCUUUAUGUUCAAGAAAUUAUGACCGGAAAAUUGAUGUUUAUUCCCUUCCCGAUGUACAUUUUAAGGGGGAAGUUUGAAUAGACAGCAAUUUCUUUCUUGUCAUAAUGGUCACAUCUCUAGUAUAUCUUGAGAAGUGGAAGAGACAAAUUCUUAGAUUUAAGUAUAGAUUUAUAAAGCUAAUCUUUUUCAUUAGAAAAAUUUAUAUGAAAAUUUUAAACUAAAGGGAUGUUAGCAGCCUGUAUCUGGCAUUAACACAUCAAAGUUUUGCAAGAUCUCUAUCAAACAGAAGGCGCAUAAAGGAACUUUUCAGAUAUACAAGGAGAUGGCUUGGAGAUCUCUACACUCAGAAAGCUUUAUUAAGCAAAAUAUGAGCAUAAACAUCAAAUUUUUUGAACAAGAAAAAAGAAUAGCAGUA